CAUCAUAUAAACGUUAAUCUCAAAUCACCAAAUUUUAAUCUCUGAAGCUAAGCAGGGUUGGGCCUGGUUAGUACUUGGAUGGGAGACUGGUAGGUGCCACAGUGGGGAAGCAGUGGAUCUGGUGU
rnacentral:rRNA from 1 species